rnacentral:rRNA from 1 species
AUUGAACGCUGGCGGCAGGCCUAACACAUGCAAGUCGAGCGGGGUUUUCGGACCUAGCGGCGGACGGGUGAGUAAUGCGUAGGAAGCUACCCGAUAGAGGGGGAUACCAGUUGGAAACGACUGUUAAUACCGCAUAAUGUCUACGGACCAAAGUGUGGGACCUUCGGGCCACAUGCUAUCGGAUGCGCCUACGUGGGAUUAGCUAGUUGGUGAGGUAAUGGCUCACCAAGGCGACGAUCUCUAGCUGGUUUGAGAGGAUGAUCAGCCACACUGGAACUGAGACACGGUCCAGACUCCUACGGGAGGCAGCAGUGGGGAAUAUUGGACAAUGGGCGCAAGCCUGAUCCAGCCAUGCCGCGUGUGUGAAGAAGGCCUUCGGGUUGUAAAGCACUUUCAGUAGGGAGGAAGCGUUGUGUGUUAAUAGUACACAGCGUUGACGUUACCUACAGAAGAAGCACCGGCUAACUCUGUGCCAGCCGCCGCAGUAAAAC